AGCCCAGCACCGAAUCCUGUACCGUCUUGGUGCUAGGAAAUGUGGUGUUUAGGCCGUGCUUUGCGCUGGUACGACUCUCCUCAAGUCCACUUGAUUGUGGCUUCAGGCCCAGAGAGGGUGUAAGGCCCGUGGAGGCGAGUUGUCUGGUGCCCGGCAUGUCCUUAGAGUCGGGUUGUUUGGGAAUGCAGCCCUAAGCGGGUGGUAAACUCCAUCCAAGGCUAAAUACUAGCACGAGUCCGAUAGCGAAGAAGUACCGCGAGGGAAAGUUGAAAAGAACUUUGAAGAGAGAGUUCAAGAGUACGUGAAACCGCUGAGAGGCAAACUGGUGGAGCUGAAAUGGCUUUGAGGAAUUCAGCCCUUCGCGCGAUCGAUGAUGCCGGUUGUGAGAUCUCACGACUCCGCUGGUGUUAUUCUUUUGCGUGAUAGGUGCACUUUCCUCUUAGUCGGACCACGACCAGCGAACUGUCUUGUCUGAGAUUUGUGGAAGGUAGCUUUUGCCUCGGCAAAAGUGUUAUAGCCACUUAUUUGGAGCGAGCGGAGCGUUGGAUAAUUGAUGCCUGCCCUUUGGGCUCGUACGUUGGUUUCUUUCUGUGGUGUUGCUGGCUUCACUGCUUCUGCAGGGGUGUUGGUGAUGCCGUGGUUAGAGUCGGCCUCUGCGAUUGGCGUCUACAGUCAGUGGUUUCGAAGUAGGCAGUCCACCUGACCCGUCUUGAAACACGGACCAAGGAGUCUAACAUGUGCGCGAGUCAUUGGGCUCUACGAAACCUAAAGGCGCAGUGAAAGUGAAGAUCCAUUUUGGUGGAUUGAGGUAGGAUCCUGGGUUACGUGCUCAGGCGCACUACCGGCCCGUUCGACAUGUCUUCAUGCGGGCGGAGCAAGAGCGUACACGUUGGGACCCGAAAGAUGGUGAACUAUGCUUGCGCAGGUCGAAGCCAG
rnacentral:rRNA from 1 species